rnacentral:rRNA from 1 species
UACGAAGGGUGCAAGCGUUACUCGGAAUUACUGGGCGUAAAGCGUGCGUAGGCGGUUAGUUAAGUCUGUCGUGAAAGCCCUGGGCUCAACCUGGGAAUUGCGAUGGAAACUGGCGAGCUAGAGUACGGUAGAGGAUGGUGGAAUUCCCGGUGUAGCGGUGAAAUGCGUAGAGAUCGGGAGGAACACCCGUGGCGAAGGCGGCCAUCUGGACCAGUACUGACGCUGAGGCACGAAAGCGUGGGGAGCAAACAGG